GCCUGAGUAGCUCAGCCAGUUGAGCAUCUGACUUCAGCUCAGGUCAUGAUCUCACAGUUCGUGGGUUUGAGCUCCACAUCAGGCU
rnacentral:tRNA from 1 species